UUCUCCAUCGUUUCGUUCCGCGGAAAACCCUAAUUUUCUCUCUCUCUAUCUCUCUCUCUAUUACCGUCGACCAUUAAGUUUAUUUGAAGGGGAAAUAUGGUUUUGUACAUAUAAUUUUGUUUCGGUGGUGCUUGGAUUUGAUUUGGAACACCGAGACAGAAGAUUGGCAAUUUUCGGGAUAUAAAGGGCUAUUUUUUGUUUGAUUUGAUCUAUAGAGUUUGGGUUGUGAUAUUGCGGUGUUCGUGUGAGGCUUCUGCAAUGGCGAACCGGACGGAGACUGGGAUGAAGCGCGAGUUCGCAAUGAUGAUGAAGGCUCAAGCCGAAUGCGGGAUCUGUAUUGGUCAGAAGAGAAGAAGGUUACUCGGUCUCAGAAUGGGGCUUUAAACGGUAGAGCUUCGAUUAGUCCCCAAAAUGGUAGUAGGACUAAGAGCUCUACCGUGAAAAGGCGGAAGAAG